rnacentral:lncRNA from 1 species
GGGUUAUUUAACUGGUUGCUUUGAGGAGGAGCUGCUUUGAUAUGCAAGGAACUGUCUUGUUUAGCAAGUUGUUAAUGCCUACAUAUUAAGCAUCUUUCUUUUUUUUUCCAGUGUAUUUUAAGGCAGAAGAUGAACCAGGUAUCACAUUAUUCCAUAUCCACAAGCCACAAGUUUUUAAAAUUUGAACUAAAUACCUGCCAAUUAUGGAUUAAUCACUUUAACCUUCACAGCAUUAUUUUUCUUUUGAAGAAAGAAAAACUUACAAAAGGUUUCCCCAGGGCAAUGCUUUCUCUCCUUUGAAGUCUCCACAUCAUCCUUGGAAGGAGAUUGUGUGGGCAAGAAAUAAUCACAUUGUCUUGUGCUCCAGAAGCUCGACCUUGUUCUGAAUGGAGUCAGUUUAAAGUAAACAUCAAGUGG